GCCGGGCAUGGUGGCUCAUGCCUGUAAUCCCAGGACUUUGGGAGCCUGAGACAGGAGGCUCUCUUGAGCUCAGGAGUUCAAGACCAGCCUGAGCAACAUGGAGAGACCCUGUCUCUA
rfam:Homo sapiens chromosome 17 genomic contig, GRCh38 reference assembly alternate locus group ALT_REF_LOCI_1.